rnacentral:rRNA from 1 species
CCUACGGGUGGCUGCAGUGAGGAAUAUUGGUCAAUGGACGCGAGCCUGAACCAGCCAAGCAGCGUGAAGGAUGACUGCCCUACGGGUUGUAAACUUCUUUUAUACAGGAAUAAAGUGAGGCACGUGUGCCUUUUUGUAUGUACUUUAUGAAUAAGGAUCGGCUAACUCCGUGCCAGCAGCCGCGGUAAUACGGAGGAGUCGAGCGUUAUCCGGAUUUAUUGGGUUUAAAGGGUGCGUAGAUGGGUGGUUAAGUCAGUUGUGAAAGUUUGCGGCUCAACCGUGAAAUUGCAAUUGAUACUGGCAGGCUUGAGUGCAGUUGAGGUAGGCGGAAUGCGUGGUGUAGCGGUGAAAUGCUUAGAGAUCACGAAGAACUCCGAUUGCGAAGGCAGCUUACUAAGCUGCCACUGACAUUGAUGCUCGAAAGUGUGGGUAGCAAACAGGAUUAGAUACCCCUGUAGUC